AUGAACGCUGGCGGCGUGCCUCAUACCUGCAAGUCGAGCGAACGGACGAGAAGCUUGCUUUUCUGAUGUUAGCGGCGGACGGGUGAGUAACACGUGGAUAACCUACCUAUAAGACUGGGAUAACUUCGGGAAACCGGAGCUAAUACCGGAUAAUAUUUUGAACCGCAUGGUUCAAAAGUGAAAGACGGUCUUGCUGUCACUUAUAGAUGGAUCCGCGCUGCAUUAGCUAGUUGGUAAGGUAACGGCUUACCAAGGCAACGAUGCAUAGCCGACCUGAGAGGGUGAUCGGCCACACUGGAACUGAGACACGGUCCAGACUCCUACGGGAGGCAGCAGUAGGGAAUCUUCCGCAAUGGGCGAAAGCCUGACGGAGCAACGCCGCGUGAGUGAUGAAGGUCUUCGGAUCGUAAAACUCUGUUAUUAGGGGAGAACAUAUGUGUAAGUAACUGUGCACAUCUUGACGGUACCUAAUCAGAAAGCCACGGCUAACUACGUG
rnacentral:rRNA from 1 species